UUUGAAUAUCUCUUUAGUCACAGCACUAAACAACAAUUGUAAGGCAGCAUGAUCUUUCAUCUUUAACUCCUCUAAAUCUGUCAUUCUUUUCUUCUCAUCAUGGAUUCCUUCAGUUACUAUUUUCCACAACCCCCUAGACCUAAGGAGAACUCUUGUCUUUAUAACCCAUAAGUGAAAAUUCUUCCCGUCAAACACUGAAACUACUUAUUCUUAGAUUUCCAGGCCACCAAGACUUUGGAGCUCUGAUACCAUGUUGAAUUCUCUCACAUCUGCCGCUUAACCCUUUUUACUUCUUACUUUUCUUCUUCCUCCACGACACAACACUUCUUCUUCUUACGCUUCUUCCUCUUCUCUUAUUCUUCUUCGACUCCAUUGCCUUCUCUUCUUCACCUUAUGAUUUCUUCUCUUAUGCUACUUGAUUAAGAAGAGGAUCAAACUCCAACAGAUUUGUGAUGAAAGAAUAUCUAGCUAAUCCCUCACAAAAUGACUAUAGCAAAGGAUUUGCGAGGAAAGUCAAUCCCUCGCAAUUCGCUUCUCGCAAAUUGGUCAACGUUGUAAUUCUCUCACAAUAUUUGCUAGGAAUUAAAUCCCUCGCAAAAUAAUUGUAAAUUGCAAGGAAUAAAAGUGGUAGCAGAUUCCUUGCAAUA